UACGGAGGGGGCAAGCGUUAUUCGGAAUUAUUGGGCGUAAAGGGCGCGUAGGCGGCUAGAUGUGUCAAAGGUGAAAUCCCUCGGCUCAACUGAGGAACUGCCUUUGAAACUGUCUGGCUUGAGGCCGGGAGAGGGUAGCGGAAUUCCCAGUGUAGCGGUGAAAUGCGUAGAUAUCGGGAGGAACACCAAUGGCGAAGGCAGCUCGCUGGGACGUUACUGACGCUGAGACGCGAAAGCGUGGGGAGCAAACAGG
rnacentral:rRNA from 1 species